CCUACGGGAGGCAGCAGUGGGGAAUUUUGGACAAUGGGGGGCAACCCUGAUCCAGCAAUGCCGCGUGAGUGAAGAAGGCCUUCGGGUUGUAAAGCUCUUUUGUCAGGGAAGAAACAGCAGCUCUAACACAGCUGUGAAUGACGGUACCUGAAGAAUAAGCACCGGCUAACUACGUGCCAGCAGCCGCGGUAAUACGUAGGGUGCAAGCGUUAAUCGGAAUUACUGGGCGUAAAGCGUGCGCAGGCGGUUAUAUAAGACAGGUGUGAAAUCCCCGGGGCUUAACCUGGGAAUUGCAUCUGUGACUGUAUAGCUAGAGUGUGUCAGAGGGGGGUAGAAUUCCACGUGUAGCAGUGAAAUGCGUAGAUAUGUGGAGGAAUACCAAUGGCGAAGGCAGCCCCCCUGGGAUAACACUGACGCUCAUGCACGAAAGCGUGGGGAGCAAACAGGAUUAGAUACCCUAGUAGUCCACGCCCUAAACGAUGCUGACUAGUUGUUCGGGAUUUUAUCCUGAGUAACGUAGCUAACGCGUGAAGUCGNGCCGCCGUGGGUAGGUUGGUUCGUCGAGAAGUUAAACGUUAAAGUUAGUUAGUUAGACGGCGUUGAGACGUUGCCGACGGACGACGACGAGGGAGGAGG
rnacentral:rRNA from 1 species